CGGGGUGUGGCCCAGCUUGGUCUAAGGCGCUUGACUGGGGGUCAAGAGAGCGGAGGUUCAAAUCCUCUCACCCCGACCA
rnacentral:tRNA from 1 species